CAGCUGCAGCAGAGCAGGAGACAGAUGUUAGAAUGUUGAUAGCACCUGAGGGUGACACGUUCUACCCAUCAAAACAACCGACACAUAAAAUACGGGACAUCAUACGGAGCAGGUUUGACGCUCCUUAUGUUUCUUGGAAGAAAGUCCCGAAAGAAGUCCGGGAGAUGUGGUUUAGAGAGUUUGAGGUAUUUUUGUGUUUUAGUUUUUAUGUUAAAUGAUUUAUUCUUUCUUACUUAAGCUAAUAAUCUUAUAUAUUAUAUAUCAUAUGUAUUUGAUUACAUAAAGAGUUUUGUUGGCUGCCCCAACACAAUGAUAGGAUUAGAAAGAAUUUUGAGAAGCAUGGGUCUACUCGGAUGCGCGACAUGUUCACAGAUAUUAGAAAGUCUGGGAAGCGACCAUUAUGGAUUGGAGAGGUUAUAUGGGAUGAGUUGAAUGCAGCUUGGGGCAGCGAAGAGUACAGUAGGAAGAGGGAUCAGAAUCGACAGAACAGAGCUUCUGAUGUUGGUGGGUUGGGUAGUUCACUUCAUAUAGGCGGCUCUGUUCCACAUACUGAGCACAGGCGUCAUUUGGUAAUGAAUUUUAAUUAUUUUUUAAAAUUAUUCUUUAAUCUAUAUUAAUAAAAUUCUCUUAAUUCAAACAGAAAGCGAUGCUUGGUAGAGAACCAACUCCUGUUGAAUUGCAUAGUCACACUCAUAAGCGAUAGGAGGAUCAACAGUGGAUUGAUGAGAGAUCAAGAAAAGCCUAUGAGGAUUAUACACGGCUUCGAGAGACUCAUGCCGCAUCAGGUGAGGGCUCUUCUGGCGGCUCUGUGGAGUAUUCUGAGUAUCGCAUCUGGUCGCAGGCCGUCGGAGGAAUGCAGCAUGGUAGAGUAUAUGGCUUAGGUGCGCAAGC